CAGCCGCCGCGGUAAUACGGAGGGUGCAAGCGUUAAUCGGAAUUACUGGGCGUAAAGCGUGCGUAGGCGGUUCGUUAAGUCUGUUGUGAAAGCCCCGGGCUCAACCUGGGAAUGGCAAUGGAUACUGGCGAGCUAGAGUGUGUCAGAGGAUGGUGGAAUUCCCGGUGUAGCGGUGAAAUGCGUAGAUAUCGGAAGGAACACCUGUGGCGAAAGCGGCUCACUGGACCAUUUCUGACGCUGAUGCACGAAAGCUAGGGGAGCAAACAGGAUUAGAUACCCCCGUAGUCCCUGUCUCUUAUAC
rnacentral:rRNA from 1 species